rnacentral:rRNA from 1 species
AUUGAACGCUGGCGGCAGGCCUAACACAUGCAAGUCGAGCGCGCGGCGGACGGGUGAGUAAUGCCUAGGAAUCUGCCUGGUAGUGGUGGAUAACGUCCGGAAACGGUAGCUAAUACCGCAUCCUAUCGGCUGUGCCCAGAUGGGAUUAGCUAGUAGGUGGGGUAAAGGCUAACCUAGGCGACGAUCCCUAGCUGGUCUGAGAGGAUGACCAGCCACACUGGAACUGAGACACGGCCCAGACUCCUACGGGAGGCAGCAGUGGGGAAUAUUGCACAAUGGGCGCAAGCCUGAUGCAGCCAUGCCGCGUGUAUGAAGAAGGCCUUCGGGUUGUAAAGUACUUUCAGCGGGGAGGCGUUACCCGCAGAAGAAGCACCGGCUAACUCCGUGCCAGCAGCCGCGGUAAUAC